CCUACGGGUGGCAGCAGUGGGGGAUAUUGCACAAUGGGGUAACCCCUGAUGCAGCAACGCCGCGUGAGUGAAGACGUAUUUCGGUGUGGAAAGCUCUAUCAGCCAGGGAGCGAAUGACGGUACCUGACUAAUAAGCGCCAGCUAACUACGUGCCAGCAGCCGCGGUAAUACGGAGGGGACGAGCGUUAUCCGGAGUUACGUGGUGUAAAGGGAGCGUAGACGGCUGGUCAAGUCUGAAGUGAAAGCCCGGGGCUUAACCCCGGAACGGCGUUGGAAACUGAGCAGCUAGAGUGCUGGAGAGGUAAGCGGAAUGCGUAGUGUAGCGGUGAAAUGCGUAGAUAUUGGGAGGAACACCAGUGGCGAAGGCGGCUUACUGGACAGUAACUGACGCUGAGGCUCGAAAGCGUGGGGAGCAAACAGGAUUAGAUACCCCAGUAGUC
rnacentral:rRNA from 1 species